rnacentral:rRNA from 1 species
AGAGACAGCAGUCGCCGCGGGAAUACGGAGGGUGCAAGCGUUAAUCGGAAUUACUGGGCGUAAAGCGCACGCAGGCGGUUUGUUAAGUCAGAUGUGAAAUCCCCGAGCUUAACUUGGGAACUGCAUUUGAAACUGGCAAGCUAGAGUCUUGUAGAGGGGGGUAGAAUUCCAGGUGUAGCGGUGAAAUGCGUAGAGAUCUGGAGGAAUACCGGUGGCGAAGGCGGCCCCCUGGACAAAGACUGACGCUCAGGUGCGAAAGCGUGGGGAGCAAACAGGAUUAGAUACCCCAGUAGUCCCUGUCUCUUAUAC